CGUGAUUUCGCUGCUUCUCUUCGUGUACAGCUCCCACGUCAAAUGAAAACAAAACGGAUUUCUGUGGCCGGGAGCUAUCAAGAUGCUAACCAAACUCUUGAGGCCAAAGAGAAAGAACUAAGAAGUCUGCAAGAGACACUUGAAAUGCUGUCGGCUGAACGUGAUAGGUAUAAGGAAAUUGCUGAACAAGCCCAGAGGACAGCAGAUUCAAUGCAGGCAGACGAAAUGGGUGUGAAUGCUGAACUUAU